rnacentral:rRNA from 1 species
AUGUGGUAUCUCCGUAGGGGAGUUGUGCUAACAAAAGACAACCUCGCACGACGCAACUGGUCGGGAAGUAAGAAGUGUUGUUUUUUUACUCAUGACGAGAUAAUUAAACACCUGUUUUUUCACUGUAAGUUUGCGUGUUCUACGUGGUCAGCCAUCCAAAUAGCGUCAAAUUUGUAUCCGCCCACGCGUUCUACGUGGUCAGCCAUCCAAAUAGCGUCAAAUUUGUAUCCGCCCACAAGUGUUGCCAAUAUUUUUGGUCAUUGGUUGGACGGUAUUUCAAAUGCAUACAAAACGCUAAUAAGGGUGGGAGCGUAUGCCUUACUAUGGUCGCUUUGGCUAUGUAGAAAUGAUGUUGUUUUUAAUGACAAAACUGUUUCUCCUUUGCAGGUUAUUUUCCGUUGUACGCACUCGCUUCGUACGUGGUGUACGCUACAACAAGCAGAGUACCAACCGCUAUUCAAGGCGGUGUGUACGCUGUUGGAGCAAGUGGCUAUGGAGGUUUUUACCCAACAUGGAUGGCAGCAUAAUCUCCGGCUCGGUCCACCAUCUCUUUCGACAUAG